rnacentral:rRNA from 1 species
UACGGAGGGUGCAAGCGUUGUUCGGAUUUAUUGGGCGUAAAGCGCGUGUAGGCGGCUAGGUAAGUCGGGUGUGAAAUCCCGGGGCUUAACCCCGGAACUGCAUUCGAAACUGCCUGGCUAGAGUCCCGGAGAGGAGGGCGGAAUUCCCGGUGUAGAGGUGAAAUUCGUAGAUAUCGGGAGGAACACCAGUGGCGAAGGCGGCCCUCUGGACGGUGACUGACGCUGAGAUGCGAAAGCGUGGGGAGCAAACAGG